ensembl:lncRNA
UUCAAAUGUUCACAUUAGUCUUUUUAAUGUUUACAUGAGAAACAAUGUAUAAGAGUUUAUUUCAGCCUGCUAACAAGCCAUCAUACAGUUUCACUUUUGCUUGCUUGUAUAUUUCUUUUAUCUGUUGGAAAAAAAUGAUGACCCGGUUCUUCGUCCUUUGUUCUUGAUAAGAAUUGUAAUUACACGUCCAUCAUUUCACCAAAAAAGUAUAAAUGUCCAAUUACUUGUGUCCAAUUUUGUUUAUUUCAUACAAGGUCUUGAAUGUGCACUUUUUGUACAGCACAGUUAUAUAAUCAGAAAUGAACCAGACAACAGGAUAGAGUGGGAAAAUAUUAUAAAACUGUAUAAAAUGUGCUUGAAACCCUUCUGAUAUGCAUGGCGGCCAAUGGCUCACCCGCCCGCAAACAAAGUAACUCAAAUGACUCAAAUGAAAAUACAGUCUAUUAUGCCUCAGGUCCUCAUAUUGGUUCUCCCUCUUGCUUGCCAUUAUGCACUUUAUUUGACAUCCACAUUAAUCUGUGUCCCUGUCCAGUCUCUGACCUCAAAGACUAACAAUACAUGUUGUAAAUGGCUCCCUAUUCCCAAGCUGUCCCUUGCCAGAAGUAGUUCAUAUUAAAGGGGAUUGGGAGCCAUUUGAGCUAAACCUCCACCGUGUUACACAGUCUGCAUGAUCACCCACUAUCCCGCUGUGACAACAAUAUGCUAAUUGAUCACAGGCAGGACAUUAUGUCUGAACAGAAAAUCACCAGCCAUUAUUUACAUUUGCAUUCUGAUCUCUGCUGUGCUAGCUAACAUGGCCAAUCAGACCAUCUCAUAACUUAAACAACUCAAUUGCAAAGAUAACAGCGCUUCUCAGUAUGUUUCUCUAUCGGAGUAUGUAGUAGUAGUUUAACAUAUUCAAGCAAAUAUGUUUACAGUAGAAUUAGCUGAAAACUUUUUUGAAACAAACAAAAAUCUGUCAAAUACACUUCCAAUGACAUCUGGAAAAAACAGUGCAGCAAACAACAGCGAUAAAACAUAUCCAUGUUCGCUUUUGCGUGCACCAGGGUUUUAAGGUGACUUCGCUUAAAGCUGCACGGGAAAUCACAGAGACAGCUUUAGUAAAAGGCACGGUCCCCACAUCAUUGGGCAUACUGUAUCACAACUAAUACACAAUAUGGCCUUCGUUUGUUAAUUACAAUUUAUCGGCUGUACAUAAGCAUUAAUAAAGUUGGCAAUUAGAUUGGAUCACUGUCAUUGCACAGCUAUAUCAUUUAGAUGAACUGCUAUACUACAAAGGAGAUGUUGUCAGAAAGAAAGAGGUUUGUGACAUAACCUGAUUCACUGAUUUGGAUUAUGUGAGCUACUGCUGCUGUAUGUUCAUUUUCUAGCUCUAGAAACUCCCUGGUAACAUGUACAGUGUUGUAUCAAAGAACACCAAGGCCUACAUGGUUUUGUACAAAUAAAUCAAAUCAUUUGUCUUAGACACCUUUUUAACUGUAAGAUACCUUAACUAUCGAGGUCAGGGUUUAGCAAACUUAGGAGUCGCAAACCGUUGUGGGAUACCCUGAUUUAAAAACGUGGUGAAGAGAAAACGCAAAGAAUCAUUUGUGCUUUCUUCAUAGAACCAGGGUUUUGCUUUUGUAAGAAAAGUUGUUAAAAAUGAGAUGGGGCCCAAUAGGCUAAAAUGGACCUGGAGUGAUUUGUAACAGUCAUAAAUACAAAAAGUAAACAUUGAUAACAUAAAAUUAAUUAAUUAAAAAAAAAACAUUGCAUAUGGUCAUACUUUUUCAAUUAAAAUGGGGGAAGCGGGCAAAACAGGUGUGUGUGGGUACCCCUGAACUAGGUGCAGAGGUGGACCCAUCCAACAGGUGUGUGUGGGUACCCCUGAACUAGGUGCAGAGGUGGACCCAUCCAACAGGUGUGUGUGGGUACCCCUGAACUAGGUGCAGAGGUGGACCCAUCCAACAGGUGUGUGUGGG